rnacentral:rRNA from 1 species
AUUGAACGCUGGCGGCAUGCUUUACACAUGCAAGUCGAACGGCAGCGCGGGCUUCGUCCUGGCUGCGAGUGGCGAACGCGUGAGUAAUGCACCGGAAUGUCCCCCGCUGUGGGGGAUAGUCCGGCGAAAGCCGGAUUAAUACCGCAUACGACCUGCUGGUGCAACCGGGGGACCGAAAGGCCUCUCGCUCUUUGAGCGGCCGAGGUCGGAUUAGCUAGUUGGUGGGGUAAAGGCUUACCAAGGCGACGAUCCGUAGCUGGUCUGAGAGGACGACCAGCCACACUGGGACUGAGACACGGCCCAGACUCCUACGGGAGGCAGCAGUGGGGAAUUUUGGACAAUGGGGGCAACCCUGAUCCAGCCAUGCCGCGUGCGGGAAGAAGGCCUUCGGGUUGUAAACCGCUUUUGUUCGGGAAGAAAUCCUCUGGGCUAAUACCCCGGGGGGAUGACGGUACCGGAAGAAUAAGCACCGGCUAACUACGUG